GACGAACGCUGGCGGCGUGCUUAACACAUGCAAGUCGAACGGAAAGGCCCUGCUUUUGUGGGGUGCUCGAGUGGCGAACGGGUGAGUAACACGUGAGUAACCUGCCCUUGACUUUGGGAUAACUUCAGUAAACUGGGGCUAAUACCGGAUAGGAGCUCCUGCUGCAUGGUGGGGGUUGGAAAGUUUCGGCGGUUGGGGAUGGACUCGCGGCUUAUCAGCUUGUUGGUGGGGUAGUGGCUUACCAAGGCUUUGACGGGUAGCCGGCCUGAGAGGGUGACCGGCCACAGUGGGACUGAGAUACGGCUCAGACUCCUACGGGAGGCAGCAGUGGGGAAUAUUGCACAAUGGGCGGAAGCCUGAUGCAGCAACGCCGCGUGCGGGAUGACGGCCUUCGGGUUGUAAACCGCUUUCGCCUGUGACGAAGCGUGAGUGACGGUAAUGGGUAAAGAAGCACCGGCUAACUACGUG
rnacentral:rRNA from 1 species